CCUACGGGUGGCAGCAGUGAGGAAUAUUGGUCAAUGGCCGGAAGGCUGAACCAGCCAAGCCGCGUGAGGGAGGAAGGCGCAGAGCGUCGCAGACCUCUUUUGCCGGGGGACAAAAGGCCGGACUCGUCCGGUCCUGAGGGUACCCGGAGAAAAAGCAUCGGCUAACUCCGUGCCAGCAGCCGCGGUAAUACGGAGGAUGCGAGCGUUAUCCGGAUUUAUUGGGUUUAAAGGGUGCGUAGGCGGGCUGUUAAGUCAGCGGUAAAAUGUCGGGGCUCAACCCCGGCCUGCCGUUGAAACUGGCGGCCUCGAGUGGGCGAGAAGCAUGCGGAAUGCGUGGUGUAGCGGUGAAAUGCAUAGAUAUCACGCAGAACUCCGAUUGCGAAGGCAGCAUACCGGCGCCCGACUGACGCUGAGGCACGAAAGCGUGGGUAUCGAACAGGAUUAGAUACCCGAGUAGUC
rnacentral:rRNA from 1 species